UACGAAGGGGGCUAGCGUUACUCGGAAUUACUGGGCGUAAAGCGUGCGCAGGCGGCUUAGUAAGUUGGAAGUGAAAGCCUAGGGCUCAACCCUAGAACUGCUUUCAAAACUGCUUGGCUAGAGUGUCAGAGGGGAUAGCGGAAUUCCUAGUGUAGAAGUGAAAUUCGUAGAUAUUAGGAGGAACACCGAAAGCGAAAGCGGCUAUCUGGCUGAAUACUGACGCUGUUGCACGAAAGCGUGGGGAGCAAACAGG
rnacentral:rRNA from 1 species